CCUACGGGUGGCAGCAGUGAGGAAUAUUGGUCAAUGGCCGAGAGGCUGAACCAGCCAAGUCGCGUGAGGGAAGACGGCCCUACGGGGUGUAAACCUCUUUUGUCGGGGAGCAAAGCGAACCACGUGUGGUUCAUUGGGAGUACCCGAAGAAAAAGCAUCGGCUAACUCCGUGCCAGCAGCCGCGGUAAUACGGAGGAUGCGAGCGUUAUCCGGAUUUAUUGGGUUUAAAGGGUGCGUAGGCGGGCAUUUAAGCCGGCGGUCAAAUGUCGGGGCUCAACCGUAAAAUUGCAGUUGAAACUGGCAGUCUUGAGUACAGUAGAGGUGGGCGGAAUUCGUGGUGUAGCGGUGAAAUGCUUAGAUAUCACGAAGAACUCCGAUUGCGAAGGCAGUUCACUGGACUGCAACUGACACUGAGGCUCGAAAGUGUGGGUAUCAAACAGGAUUAGAUACCCUAGUAGUC
rnacentral:rRNA from 1 species